rnacentral:tRNA from 1 species
GGUCCGGUGACCGAUGCGAUAACGGCGCCGGUCGUCACACGGCAGGCGCGGGUUCAAAUCCCAUCCAGACCG